GAGUGAUCGAAAGAUGAAAAGCACUUUGAAAAGAGAGUUAAACAGCACGUGAAAUUGUUGAAAGGGAAGCGUUUGCGACCAGACUCGCCCGCGGGGUUCAGCCGGCAUUCGUGCCGGUGUACWUCCCCGUGGGCGGGCCAGCGUCGGUUUGGGCGGCCGGUCAAAGGCCCUCGGAAUGUAUCACCCCCCGGGGUGUCUUAUAGCCGAGGGUGCAAUGCGGCCUGCCCGGACCGAGGAACGCGYUCGGY
rnacentral:rRNA from 1 species